rnacentral:rRNA from 1 species
GAUGAACGCUGGCGGCGUGCCUAAUACAUGCAAGUCGAGCGAACAGACGAGGAGCUUGCUCCUCUGACGUUAGCGGCGGACGGGUGAGUAACACGUGGAUAACCUACCUAUAAGACUGGGAUAACUUCGGGAAACCGGAGCUAAUACCGGAUAAUAUAUUGAACCGCAUGGGUCAAUAGUGAAAGACGGUUUUGCUGUCACUUAUAGAUGGAUCUGGGCCGCAUUAGCUAGUUGGUAAGGUAACGGCUUACCAAGGCAACGAUGCGUAGCCGACCUGAGAGGCGGGUAGGCGACAUGGGAACGGAGACGCCGACCAGACGCCUGAGGGAGGCAGCAGUCGGGAACCGUACGCAGUGGGCGAAAGCAUGACGCAGCAAGGCCGCGUGAGUGAUGAAGGCCCUGGGAGCGUAAAGCUCUGUUAUGAGGGAAGAACAAAUGUGUAAGUAACUAUGCACGUCUUGACGGUACCUAGUCAGAAAGCCACGGCUAGCUACGUG